GACGAACGCUGGCGGCGUGCUUAACACAUGCAAGUCGAACGGAAAGGCCCUGCUUUUGUGGGGUUCUCGUGUGGCGAGCGGGUGAGUAACACGUGUGUAACCUGCUCUUGACUUUGGGAUACCUUCAGGACACUGGGGCUUAUCCCGGAUAGGCGCUCCUGCUGCAUGGUGGGGGUUGGAAAGUUUCGGGGGUUGGGGAUGGACUCGCGGCUUGUUAGCUUGUUGGUGGGGUAGGGGCUUACCAAGGCUUUGACGGGUAGCCGGCCUGGGAGGGUGACCGGCCAAAUGGGGACGGGGAUAGGGCCCAGACUCCUACGGGAGGCAGCAGGGGGGAAUAUUGCACAAGGGGCGGAGGCCGGAGGCAGCAACGCGGCGGGCGGGAUGACGGCCUUCGGGUGGUAAACCGCUUUCGCCUGGAACGAGGCGUGUGUGACGGUAAUGGGUAAAGAAGCACCGGCUAACUACGUG
rnacentral:rRNA from 1 species